GCUCCCUUAGUUUAACUGGCAAAACAAUAGUCUUGUAAACUAUCGUAGUAAGUUCAAGCCUUACAGGGAGCUCCA
rnacentral:tRNA from 1 species